UUUUUUUUCUUAAAUAGAUCUUUUCUUUUUACAAAUUAUUUGUAUUACUUUUAUAAAAACAAAUUUUGCAUAGGGCGUAAUGUACGAUUUAGCCGGGCUAGAGACACCAACUUUCGGUAAACUUUCACUCAUUUCAUCUAGCAACCACAUGCGUACAUACAUAAGCUAGUACAUGCUACUUUAAAAGACAUGGACGAUGACUUGUGUCUAUAUGAAAUGAGAAAGAGGCUUUGAAGGAAGUGUGUAUGUCUUUGGUGAAUUACAAUGG
rnacentral:lncRNA from 1 species